UGAACUAGAACUGAACUAGAACUGAACUAGAACUGAACUAGAGCUGAUCUAGAACUAAACUAGAACUAAACUAGAACUAAACUAGAACUAAACUAGAACUGAACUAGAUAAAGAUCGCAUUAGAUUAACAUGUUCUGAAUAUCGCUGGAAUAGGAUAUCACAUAAUCGGCCUUGGCCGUCUAUAUUUCCUUACACAUUUCCACUUUCCCAUUUUGACUUUAUUGAUGUUAGUUUACUUUGUUGUUUGUUAGUCAAAUGUUCAAAAUUUUUGUUGUUAUUUUUUAACGCCUGUCGUUUUUUCCUCCUUUUUUCUGUGCAUACAUUUUUUUGUCGUUUUCUCAUUGUAUCUGACUUUUUUCGCUUAGGGCCUGUCAUUGUAUUCAAAAUACCUCCAUACUAUGGCUGCUGGUAGUUUUUCCCUUGUUUUUGUCUGUUGGUCUAAACACUCAUAUAUUACUACCUUGUAUAACCAGCGAAAACAAGGGGGGAAAUUGUCAUACUACCAGGCAGCAGCUGAUACUUUUGUUUUAAUUGACUUUAAGGUAAAACAAGUAGAAAAAUAUUAAAUAAAACUAAAAUUCAACGGUUAGGGAUAAAAAUGCUCAAAAAAAGUUUGCUAGUAAACUAAAAUGAACUUGAUAAGACUAUAUAAUGGAUUAGAAAAAAAUGGCUUGAAAAAAAUUAUAGCAAAGCAUUAAAGGUUGAGAAAAUUUUGUUAAUAAAACAGCUGGCGGCUGUUGUUGAAAAAAUGCACAAUAUUUUUGAAGGCGAAUUUUUAUUUUAAUUACAAAAUUGGUGAUUUUUAUAAGUUUAAGGUUUUUUUACUUCUAUUCUAAUUCAGUUUAAGUUUAGUUUUGCAGCUACAAUAUUUUUUUAUAUAUUAUUGAAAGCAUUUAAAUUUAAUUUUUCUUAUUUAUUUUAUUUUUUCAUAAAAUAUUUUAUUUCUAAAAUUUAAUUUUAAUAAUUUAUCUCUAUUUUUGUUCACUUAUUUUAGAAACCAGUUUCAAACCCCCUUUAAAAAACAAAAAACUGUGUGAUAUUAAAAAAAAUAUUUAAAAAAAAAUUCAAAAUUACUAAAAAUCAAUUGCAUAACAUAGAGAAUUUGCAUUAAAAUUUUAUAAAAAUUCCUAACUGUCUAUAGCAAAAAAGUGCAUAAUAUUAUACAUAUAUAAAAUUUAUUAAAUACAUUUAAACUGAAAAAGAGUAAAUUGAAAAAUAAUUUAACAAAAAACUAAACAAACAAUUUAUAAAUAAAAAAAUAUACAAAUUUAAACAAAAAAAAUCCAUAUCAAAGGCAACUAAAAAAACCACACUUUACGAUUUAGUGUGAAUUCUAUGGCAAAUUUUUAAAUAAGCUGAUGGUUUUUUUAUUCGAUUUACAGCAAAUAACAAAAAAAAAAACAAAUUUAUCGAAAAAAAAUAGUAAUUUAAAACCAUUGUUUGUAAAAAAACAAGUGUUUAACAUAUAAAUCAGUGUACAGAGUGAAGGCAACAAACCGCGAUAUAAACAAAAGUAAAUUAUAUAUUAUUUAUUGUUGCAGCUAAAACAACUAAAAAUAAUAAUUGAUUAUGCAAAAUAAUAUAACAACAACUAUUAACAAGGAAAUACAAACGGAUUAGUUUUUUUCAGCACUUACUCUUUCAAAACGUAUAGUCAAUCCCAAGAUAUUAGCAGCAACAUUUUUAGCGAAACAGCAAAAAAAUUAAAAUAUUUGAAAUGUUUAAAUUGUGACUAAAAUUUAAACCCUGGAAUUUCUAUAAAAAUUCUAACCCAAAAAAGACCAAAAAGUCUUACUAACCAAAAAGAUAAAAAAGCAAAAAAAUAAACACACAAAAACCACUCCAUGAUUGGCAGCUUGUUGUAGAAAGUAGAAAAAUCAAAAGCCAC